UAGUUGUUAUUUGUUAUUGUUCUGAUGAAUUUUCAAACCUGGCAACCACAAGGUUUUGAAUCUGUAAAUACCCAGUGCAAUUAAACUCAAAUGCCACAGAGAUCUGAACUUCCUUUGGGGGUAAUGAGAUCUCCAUGGCAAUGAGGCCUGCUGAGUGAGAAACAGGGGGCUGGAAUUUGAUAAAAGGUGAUUUAAGGGCUGUAAAUCAUCAUCAUCUUCAUCCCAGAGUGACAAUGAAUCAUGAACUAAACCAAACUGUCUCAUGGAGCUGUAAAAAGGCAUGGGCUGAGAAAUAGGGCUUCAAGAGUCAUAUGAGGAAUUGCCUCAUGUAAAAAAUCCUUUGGGGCUGAAGAAAAAGCAGAAAGGUGUGUCAUGAAGAGAAUAUAAAUGUGUUGCUUACAGCCCAGUGCAUCAAAGAGCUCAGAGUCUGUAAUCCUUCGAGUUGACAAGUCCAUGGCAUGGUGCCAUUCAGGAAUGGUAUAGAUUCCAUUCAGCAGCACAAGGACUGUAGUGCAGAUGGGAGGUCGUCUGGGGUGGCUUUAAAACUCUGUAUGUGCCAGCUAAAAUAAGUCCUUUUUGCCCACUUUUAAACUUGGAAGAUAGAAUUGUUUGAACAAAAACAUGUUAGAAUUUGAGCCCAGUCUUGUAGUUGUAGUUUCUGAGCUCCUUCUGUAGAAAUUGGAAGUUUAGAUGUGGUAGGUUGAUGUGAGUCUGACAUCCAGAAAGUGCUGAAUAUCAUCACUGAGAGUCUCCUCUUCUUUGUGACAAGUUAACUCUGUAAGGGGAGUGAUGAAAAGUAACUGAGAUAAAAAUGUUAGAAGUAUCUGAGUCCUUUCCAAAUGAGACAUUAUCUACAAAACUCUAUUGGAGGCUCAGGUAUCUCUUUAUUCUUUCCCGAACUUCAGCUUUUUUAUGGUUAGUUACAGGUUUAGUGUGUUUCUACAGAGUGUAUAAAUGAAUGUAUUUAUAACGUGUGCAGUAAAGGUCACUAUUACUGCCUUUAAAUACUGAGGGUUGUUUAUGUUAUGCAUAGAGUGACAUACAAAUAAGAAUCACACUCUUGUUGCUGUUCUUGACUGUCUGCUUCCAAUUUUGCUUCUCAGGGGCUAUUUGAUUGCAGCACCUUCUGUUUUCCGCUCUGGUGUUGAGGAAGCGAUAAGUGUAACCAUCUUUAACUCUGUCAAGGAGACAACAGUUCAGAUUCAGUUAGUGGUGAAAGGAGAAACUGUGUCACGAAGCCAUGGAACAAUUCUGGAUAAAGGAACAAUUAAGCUGAAGGUGAGUAUCAAUUAUUUUAAGAUGGUUUUGGUGAAAACAUGAGGGACUUGCUUUCAACCACAGCAGGUAUUGCUCCCUGAGCAACUGCAGCACAAAUGCCACAUUCUGGUGUACACACCAAAGAGGAAGCAACCUUCACAAGAGUAAGAAUGGAGACAGAAAAGAACAAAGCUUAAUCCAUCACAGCUCAUCUGUCAGGUCCUUACACCAUUAAAGAAAAUGUGUACAAGA